rnacentral:lncRNA from 1 species
CAUCUCUCCGUGCCUUUUGACUCUGUUCUCGACUCACCUCGCAAGUCUUUCCUGCUCGCUCACUCUCUCUCCACCUCUCUCUGUCUUCAACAGCGGAAGAGUUUAUUGCAGCCACGCAACGUGUCACAGCGGAGGCAACGCCGUUGCCUUCUCCUCGAGAUCCGACCGUCGGAUGGAGGCAGAGGAGAAGGUGGGAGUCCCGUUCCCAACGGCGUCGGCGGCGGUGGGGUAGAUCCAACGCUCUGGUCGACG